rnacentral:piRNA from 1 species
UAAAAUGAUGCUGCUAGCUGCUAGGG